GAUGAAGAACGUAGCGAAAUGCGAUACGUAGUGUGAAUUGCAGGUUUACGUGAAUCAUCGAAUCUUUGAACGCAAAUUGCACUUUCCAGUACUCUGGGAAGUAUGCCUGGUUGAGGGUCGUUAAAUAACAAUCGUAAAAUUUUUUUACGGAUUUGGGUUUUCCGGCAUUUUUUAAAUGCUGGUAACUUUAAAAUGAUCUUUUUUUGGUUCAAGUUAAAACGUUCUAUAUUUACAUGGUUCGUUGAAAACUUACCUAAUAUAUAUUAUGUUUGCACUUGUCAUUUAAUCGAUUCGUGCAAGCAUAUAUUUUUUUUUUUUUUGACCUCAACUCAAGCAAGAUCACCCGCUGAACUUAAGCAUAUCAAUAAGCGGAGGA
rnacentral:misc_RNA from 1 species